AGAACGAACGCUGGCGGCAUGCCUAACACAUGCAAGUCGAACGCUCCUGGGGCUUCGGUCUCAGGGGAGUGGCGCACGGGUGAGUAGCGCGUGGGAACCUGCCCUGUUGUGGGGGAUAACCGAGGGAAACUUCGGCUAAUACCGCAUAAGCCGGUUGUCUUGAAAGAGAUGGCCGGGAAAGAUUUAUCGCGACAGGAGGGGCCCGCGUCGGAUUAGCUAGUUGGUGGGUAACGGCCCACCAAGGCAGUGAUCCGUAGCUGGUCUGAGAGGAUGAUCAGCCACACUGGGACUGAGACACGGCCCAGACUCCUACGGGAGGCAGCAGUGGGGAAUAUUGGACAAUGGGCGCAAGCCUGAUCCAGCAAUGCCGCGUGAGUGAUGAAGGCCUUCGGGUUGUAAAGCUCUUUCGCCCGCGACGAUGAUGACGGUAGCGGAGAAGAAGCCCGGCUAACUUCGUGCCAGCAGCCGC
rnacentral:rRNA from 1 species